CCUACGGGGGGCAGCAGUAGGGAAUCUUCCACAAUGGGCGAAAGCCUGAUGGAGCAACGCCGCGUGGGUGAAGAAGGUCUUCUGAUCGUAAAACCCUGUUGUUAGAGGAGCAAGUGCGUGCGAGUAACUGUUCACGUUUCGACGGUAUCUAACCAGAAAGCCACGGCUCACUACGUGCCACCAGCGGCGGUCAUACGUAGGUGGCAAGCGUUAUACGGAUUUGUUGGGCGUAAAGGGAACGCAGGCGGUCUUUUAAGUCUGAUGGGAACGUCUUCGGCUUAACCGGAGUAGUGCAUGGGAAACUGGGAGACUUGAGUGCAGAAGAGGAGAGCGGAACGCCAUGUGUAGCGGUGAAAUGCGUAGAUAUAUGGAAGAACACCAGUGGCGAAAGCGGCUCUCUGGUCUGUAACUGACGCUGAGGUUCGAAAGCGUGGGUAGCAAACAGGAUUAGAUACCCGUGUAGUC
rnacentral:rRNA from 1 species